rnacentral:rRNA from 1 species
GGUAAUUCUGGAGCUAAUACAUGCAUAAAAGCUCCGCCCGCGAGGAAAGAGCGCAUUUAUUAGAAUAAAAACCAAUCGGGCUUCGGCCCGCCGUUUGGUGAAUCUGAAUAACUUUGCCAAUCGCACAGUCCUAGUACUGGCGAUGUAUCUUUCAAGUGUCUGCCUUAUCAACUUUCGAUGGUAGGUUAUACGCCUACCAUGGUAGUAACGGGUAACGGGGAAUGAGGGUUCGACUCCGGAGAGGGAGCCUGAGAAACGGCUACCACAUCCAAGGAAGGCAGCAGGCGCGCAAAUUACCCACUUCCAGAACGGAGAGGUAGUGACGAAAAAUAACGAGACAGUCCUCUUCGAGGUCUGUCAUCGGAAUGGGUACAAUUUAAAUCCUUUAACGAGGAUCUAUUGGAGGGCAAGUCUGGUGCCAGCAGCCGCGGUAAUUCCAGCUCCAAUAGCGUAUAUUAAAGUUGUUGCGGUUAAAACGCUCGUAGUUGGAUCUGCGGCCGAGGAGAACGGUCCCCCGAAAGGGUGGUCACUGUCUCUCCUAGCCUAAAUUCGAGUCUUCUCUAGGUGUCCUUUACCGGGUGCCUAGAGUGACUAGAACGUUUACUUUGAAAAAAUUAGAGUGCUCAAAGCAGGCGAAAUAGCCUGAAUAAGGUGCAUGGAAUAAUGGAAUAGGACCUCGGUUCUAUUUUGUUGSUUUUCGGAACCCGAGGUAAUGAUUAAGAGGAACAGACGGGGGCAUUCGUAUUCCGGCGCUAGAGGUGAAAUUCUUGGACCGCCGGAAGACGGACGACUGCGAAAGCAUUUGCCAAGAAUGUUYUCAUUAAUCAAGAACGAAAGUUAGAGGUUCGAAGGCGAUCAGAUACCGCCCUAGUUCUAACCGUAAACGAUGACAACCAGCGAUUAGUCAGCGUUAAUAUAUGACCUGACUAGCAGCUUCCGGGAAACCAAAGUUUUUCGUUUCCGGGGGAAGUAUGGUUGCAAAGCUGAAACUUAAAGGAAUUGACGGAAGGGCACCACCAGGAGUGGAGCCUGCGGCUUAAUUUGACUCAACACGGGAAAACUCACCCGGCCCGGACACCGUAAGGAUUGACAGACUGAGAGCUCUUUCUUAAUUCGGUGGGUGGUGGUGCAUGGCCGUUCUUAGUUGGUGGAGCGAUUUGUCUGGUUAAUUCCGAUAACGAACGAGACUCUGGCCUAUUAAAUAGACGGUAUAUCAGUAAGUAUACCGCGCUUCUUAGAGGGACAAGCGGCGUCUAGCCGCAUGAAAUAGAGCAAUAACAGGUCUUGAUGCCCUUAGAUGUCCGGGGCUGCACGCGCGCUACACUGAAAGAAUCAGCGUGCGAUUCGCCUGGUCCGGAAGGAUCGGGUAACCCGAGUAAAUUCUUUCGUGCUUGGGAUAGGGAACUGCAAUUAUUUCCCUUAAACGAGGAAUUCCCAGUAAAUGCGGGUCAUAAGCUCGCGUUGAUUACGUCCCUGCCCUUUGUAUACACCGCCCGUCGCUACUACCGAUUGGAUGACUUAGUGAGGUCUUAGGACCGAGGCGAAGGUGCUUUAACGAGCGCUUUCGUUUUGGAAAUUUGAUCGAACUACGUUAUCUAGAGGAAGU